GUGAACGCUGGCGGCGUGCUUAACACAUGCAAGUCGAACGGACUUAAUGAGCUUGCUUAUUAAGUUAGUGGCGCACGGGUGAGUAAUAUAUAGCUAACCUGCCCUUUAGUGGGGGACAACAGUUGGAAACGACUGCUAAUACCCCAUACUCCUUCUUGUCUUAAGAUAAGUUGGGAAAGAUUUAUCGCUAAAGGAUGGGGCUUUAUUGUAUCAGCUAGUUGGUGGGGUAAUGGCCUACCAAGGCAAUGACGCAUACCUGGUCUGAGAGGAUGAUCAGGCACACUGGAACUGAGACACGGUCCAGACUCCUACGGGAGGCAGCAGUGGGGAAUAUUGCACAAUGGAGGAAACUCUGAUGCAGCAACGCCGCGUGGAGGAUGACGCAUUUCGGUGUGUAAACUCCUUUUAUAGGGGAAGAUAAUGACGGUACCCUAUGAAUAAGCACCGGCUAACUCCGU
rnacentral:rRNA from 1 species